CAGUCGCCGCGGUAAUACGAGGGGCGCAAGCGUUAUUCGGAUUGAUUGGGUGUAAAGGGUGUGCAGACGGCUUAUUAAGUCACUUGUUAAAUUCUUCGGCCUAACUGAAGGUCUGCAAGUGAUACUGAUGAGCUAGAGGGUGGAAGAGAGAAGUGGAAUUCUCGGAGUAGCGGUAAAAUGCGUAGAUCUCGAGAGGAACACCAAUGGCGAAGGCAGCUUUUUGGUCCAUUCCUGACGUUCAUACACGAAAGCGUGGGGAGCAAACAGGAUUAGAUACCCCGGUAGUCCCUGUCUCUUAUAC
rnacentral:rRNA from 1 species